AUUGAACGCUGGCGGCAGGCUUAACACAUGCAAGUCGAGCGGAAACGAUGGUAGCUUGCUACCAGGCGUCGAGCGGCGGACGGGUGAGUAAUACUUAGGAAUCUACCUAGUAGUGGGGGAUAGCUCGGGGAAACUCGAAUUAAUACCGCAUACGACCUACGGGAGAAAGGGGGCAGUUUACUGCUCUCGCUAUUAGAUGAGCCUAAGUCGGAUUAGCUAAAUGGUGGGGUAAAGGCCUACCAUGGCGACGAUCUGUAGCUGGUCUGAGAGGAUGAUCAACCACACCGGGACUGAGACACGGCCCGGACUCCUACGGGAGGCAGCAGUGGGGAAUAUUGGACAAUGGGGGAAACCCUGAUCCAGCCAUGCCGCGUGUGUGAAGAAGGCCUUUUGGUUGUAAAGCACUUUAAGCAGUGAAGAAGACUCCGUGGUUAAUACCCACGGACGAUGACAUUAGCUGCAGAAUAAGCACCGGCUAACUCUGUGCCAGCAGCCGCGGUAAUACAGAGGGUGCAAGCGUUAAUCGGAAUUACUGGGCGUAAAGGGAGCGUAGGUGGCUCGAUAAGUCAGAUGUGAAAUCCCCGGGCUCAACCUGGGAACUGCAUCUGAUACUGUUGAGCUAGAGUAUGUGAGAGGAAGGUAGAAUUCCAGGUGUAGCGGUGAAAUGCGUAGAGAUCUGGAGGAAUACCGAUGGCGAAGGCAGCCUUCUGGCAUAAUACUGACACUGAGGCUCGAAAGCGUGGGUAGCAAACAGG
rnacentral:rRNA from 1 species